AUGCAUGCAACCAAUUGUCACCGUACGUCGACCGCAAAGCUCUCAUGGCCGCCCACCGUCUCCGGCCGCCACCCCCUACAAAAACCCGGCGACUCCGUUCCCGUCCAAGCAUCGCACGCCAUCUAUCAACCCUUCCGCCACCUUGUCUCUCACUCGCGAAAGCCCCGUCCACAGGUUACGUACGUGCGCAGAAACGAGAACAUGGCCCAGAGCAGGACCACCGCCGUCGCGCUGCUCCUGAUCGCCGUCCUGGUGGCGGCCGCGUCGGUGCCGGCGGCGACCGCCUUCGGCUGCUACGACGACUGCUACGAGCGCUGCGCCAACGGCGCCAAGGAGGACCCAGCCUGCACCAAGAUGUGCGGAGAGGCAUGCGGCGUCGGCGGCAAAGGCGCCGGCGCCGCCGGCGGCGCGCCCGCCGCUUGA
rnacentral:rRNA from 1 species